AUCAACUUUCGAUGGUAGGAUAGAGGCCUACCAUGGUGGUAACGGGUAACGGGGUGUUAGGGCACGACACCGGAGAGGGAGCCUGAGAAACGGCUACCACAUCCAAGGAUGGCAGCAGGCGCGCAAAUUACCCAAUCCCGACACGGGGAGGUAGUGACAAUAAAUAACAAUACGGGGUUCUUUAGGAUCUCGUAAUUGGAAUGAGUACAAUUUAAAUCUCUUAACGAGGAACAAUUGGAGGGCAAGUCUGGUGCCAGCAGCCGCGGUAAUUCCAGCUCCAAUAGCGUAUAUUAAAGUUGUUGCAGUUAAAAAGCUCGUAGUUGAAUUUCGGGGUUAGUAGGUUGGUCAUGCCUCUGGUAUGUGCUGGUCUCACUGAUCCCUCCUUCCUGAUGAACCGUAAUGCCAUUAAUUUGGUGUUUCGGGGAAUUUGGACUGUUACUUUGAAAAAAUUAGAGUGUUUAAAGCAAGCUAACGCUUGAAUACAUUAGCAUGGAAUAAUGAAAUAGGACGUUCGAUCCUAUUUUGUUGGUUUCUAGGAUUGACGUAAUGAUUAAUAGGGAUAGUUGGGGGCAUUAGUAUUCAAUUGUCAGAGGUGAAAUUCUUGGAUUUAUUGAAGACUAACUACUGCGAAAGCAUUUGCCAAGGAUGUUUUCAUUAAUCAAGAACGAAAGUUAGGGGAUCGAAGACGAUCAGAUACCGUCGUAGUCUUAACCAUAAAUUAUGCCGACUAGGGAUCGGAUGAUGUUAAUCUUUUAAUGACUCAUUCGGCGCCUUACGGGAAACCAAAGUGUUUGGGUUC
rnacentral:rRNA from 1 species